AUACCGCAGGCCCAGGACGUUUCCUCAGAGUCCAGGGAGUUCUUCUGGAUGCACAGCAGGAGACUGGAACUGUGACACUGCAGCCUGGCUGGAGUCCGCAUGUCGGUUCCUAAUCCCAUGCAAAGACCCAGACAGGUCAGCAAGACCAUAAACAGAGGCUAGAAAACUUGGGAGGCUUUCAGGGUUUUCCAUCCAUGUGUGUACCCUGAGGAUAUCAUGAGCGCAUAUAGAGAUGAGACCUAGAUGCAUACCAUUCCCAGCCUCCUCCUGGUUUUCUCUGAUGGAAAAACACUGAAGAGCCAGCUUGGACGACACCGGCACUGGAGCCCUGGGCACGCAGCAUGCUCUGAUCCAGAGGUACGCAUAAACACAGCCUGAGGUGAUACAAAUAGGUAAUAACCAUUCAGCAUUACU